rnacentral:rRNA from 1 species
AUUGAACGCUGGCGGAAUGCUUUACACAUGCAAGUCGAGCGGCAGCGCGGGGCAACCUGGCGGCGAGCGGCGAACGGGUGAGUAAUGCAUCGGAACAUGUCCAUGUCGUGGGGGAUAGCCCGGCGAAAGCCGGAUUAAUACCGCAUACGCCCGAGAGGGGAAAGUGGGGACCGCAAGGCCUCACGCGAUUGGGUUGGCCGAUGUCCGAUUAGCUAGUUGGCGGGGUAAUGGCCCACCAAGGCGAUGAUCGGUAGCUGGUCUGAGAGGAUGAUCAGCCACACUGGGACUGAGACACGGCCCAGACUCCUACGGGAGGCAGCAGUGGGGAAUUUUGGACAAUGGGGGCAACCCUGAUCCAGCCAUUCCGCGUGAGUGAAGAAGGCC